UACGGGGGAUGCGAGCGUUAUCCGGAUUUAUUGGGUUUAAAGGGUGCGUAGGCGGCGCUUCAGGUCAGCGGUGAAAUACCGGGGCUCAACCCCGGGGCUGCCGUUGAAACCGGAGCGCUAGAAUUCCGAUGCCGUCGGAGGAAUGUGUGGUGUAGCGGUGAAAUGCAUAGAUAUCACGCAGAACCCCGAUUGCGAAGGCAGCCUGCCAAGCCAUGACUGACGCUGAUGCACGAAAGCGUGGGGAUCGAACAGG
rnacentral:rRNA from 1 species